CCCCUGCCUCAUCCCUGUGAGUGUCCAGAAUGUUUCCACCAUCUCAGGGCUAAAAGAGCAUUGGCCCAGAUUAGGUCAGCAUGAUUCUUAUAGGAAGAGGGAUUCAGAAGGCUUUCGUGUCUGUCCUGCAAGUCUCUAGGAAGACUUUCUAGAGGUAAACACAUGAAAUUCACGUGAGAACGCAAGGAGGAAUUCACCAGAAGAUGACAGAAGUGGGGCUCUCCAGACUGGAGUAGAAGUAAAAGGCCCAAACAAAUGGGAAAGUGGAGAUUUAUAACUGGAGGCUCCCAGGCACUCCAGAUGUGGCGGAUGCAUGUGCACGUCUGUGGGACAUGGAAGAAGAGAGACAGUGGGUUUCAAGGAAGUCUGGAAACUGCACACUGCAGCCAGAUGGCCCCAACCUGGGGGACCGUCAUGGCACACUGGAGCAUGAAAUCAGAUUUUGGAGGGAGAGGAGGACGUGGUGUGGCAGAGGCCCAGGGAGGGGAUUCUCAGCCGGAGGUUUAUGGGAAACAAGAGAUGGCCUAGGUUUACAAACAACCAAACAGAUGUGGGAGAGGGAAGAUAAGCACUGGAGCGCCUUAGAGCCGGUUCUUCCCACUGCUCAAGUUCAACUCCUGACACUUGGUCAUGCCUCCUAUAUAACCCAGCAUCAAAUAAAGACUGAGCCAGUAGCCCAGUGUAUCUAAGAGCUGUGUCACCAUCCAUUGCCACCAGCUGGCUCUGCUGUCACAUCUGGGCUCUCAUUUGAGUGAUGUCUCACAGAAGCCUGAAAAAUGGAAUCACAAGCGGAGAGGCCAGCAAAGGCAGAAUGCCAGAG
rnacentral:lncRNA from 1 species